UAGGGAAUAUUGCACAAUGGGCGAAAGCCUGAUGCAGCAACGCCGCGUGCGCGAUGACGGCCUUCGGGUUGUAAAGCGCUUUUCGGGGAGAUGAGGAAGGACAGUAUCCCCGGAAUAAGGCUCGGCUAACUACGUGCCAGCAGCCGCGGUAACACGUAGGAGCCAAGCGCUAUCCGAAUUCACUGGGCGUAAAGCGCGUGUAGGCGGCUUGGUAAGUUGGAUGUGAAAGCUCCUGGCUCAACUGGGAGAGGACGUGCAAUACUGCCGGGCUAGAGCGCGACAGAGGGAGGUGGAAUUCCCGGUGUAGUGGUGAAAUGCGUAGAUAUCGGGAGGAACACCAGUGGCGAAAGCGGCCUCCUGGGUCGCACCUGACGCUCAGACGCGAAAGCUAGGGGAGCGAACGG
rnacentral:rRNA from 1 species